rnacentral:rRNA from 1 species
UGUGACCUCAAAUCAGGUAGGACUACCCGCUGAACUUAAGCAUAUCAAUAAGCGGAGGAAAAGAAACUAACAAGGAUUCCCCUAGUAACUGCGAGUGAAGCGGGAAAAGCUCAAAUUUAAAAUCUGUCAGUCUUUGGCUGUCCGAGUUGUAAUCUAGAGAAGUGUUAUCUGCGUUGGACCGUGUACAAGUCUCCUGGGAUGGAGCGUCAUAGAGGGUGAGAAUCCCGUCUUUGACACGGACUACCAAGGCUUUGUGAUGCGCUCUCAAAGAGUCGAGUUGUUUGGGAAUGCAGCUCAAAAUGGGUGGUAAAUUCCAUCUAAAGCUAAAUAUUGGCGAGAGACCGAUAGCGAACAAGUACCGUGAGGGAAAGAUGAAAAGAACUUUGGAAAGAGAGUUAAACAGUACGUGAAAUUGCUGAAAGGGAAACGCUUGAAGUCAGUCGCGUUGUCCAGGGAUCAACCUUGCUUUUGCUUGGUGUACUUUCUGGUUAACGGGUCAACAUCAAUUUUGAUCAUUGGAAAAAAGUUAAGGGAAUGUGGCAUCUUUGGAUGUGUUAUAGCCUUUGAUUGUAUACAAUGGUUGGGAUUGAGGAACUCAGCACGCCGCAAGGCCGGG